rnacentral:misc_RNA from 1 species
GAUGAAGAACGCAGCGAAAUGCGAUACGUAAUGUGAAUUGCAGAAUUCAGUGAAUCAUCGAAUCUUUGAACGCACAUUGCGCCCUCUGGUAUUCCGGGGGGCAUGCCUGUUCGAGCGUCAUUAUAACCACUCAAGCUCUCGCUUGGUAUUGGGGUUCGCGGUUUCGCGGCCCCUAAAAUCAGUGGCGGUGCCUGUCGGCUCUACGCGUAGUAAUACUUCUCGCGAUUGAGUUCGAUAGGUCUACUUGCCAGUAACCCCCAAUUUUUACAGGUUGACCUCGGAUCAGGUAGGGAUACCCGCUGAACUUAAGCAUAUCAAUAAGCGGAGGA